rnacentral:rRNA from 1 species
UACGUAGGGAGCGAGCGUUGUCCGGAUUUAUUGGGCGUAAAGAGCUCGUAGGCGGCUUGGUAAGUCGGAUGUGAAAUCUCCAUGCUUAACGUGGAGCGGCCAUCUGAUACUGCUAUGGCUUGAGUCCGGUAGGGGCCCACGGAAUUCCUGGUGUAGCGGUGAAAUGCGCAGAUAUCAGGAGGAACACCGGUGGCGAAGGCGGUGGGCUGGGCCGGCACUGACGCUGAGGAGCGAAAGCGUGGGGAGCAAACAGG